CUACCAUGGCUAUUACGGGUAACGGAGGAUUAGGGUUCGAUUCCGGAGAGGGAGCCUGAGAAACGGCUACCACAUCUAAGGAAGGCAGCAGGCGCGUAAAUUACCCAAUCCUGAUUCAGGGAGGUAGUGACAAGAAAUAACGGACCGAGGUCUAAUGGCUUCGGGAUUGCAAUGAGCCGAAUUUACACCCCUUAGCGAGAAUCGAUUGGAGGGCAAGUCUGGUGCCAGCAGCCGCGGUAAUUCCAGCUCCAAUAGCGUAUAUUAAAGUUGUUGCAGUUAAAAAGCUCGUAGUUGGAUUUCUGGUUAGGUGCUAAUGUCCGCCAUUGUGCGUGUGCAGCGGCGCCCUUCCAUCCUUCUGUUAACGCCUCUUGGCAUUCAUUUGCUGGUGGCGGGCUCAGAUAUUUUACCUUGAGAAAAUUAGAGUGUUUCAGGCAGGCUAGGCCCGGAAUAUAUUAGCAUGGAAUAAUGGAAUAGGACUAUGGUCUCUUUGUUGGUUUGAGGGACUGCAGUAAUGAUUAAUAGGGAUAGUUGGGGGCAUUAGUAUUUAAUUGUCAGAGGUGGAAUUCUCAGAUUUGUUAAAGACUAACUUAUGCGAAAGCAUUUGCCAAGGAUGUUUUCAUUAAUCAA
rnacentral:rRNA from 1 species